CGAAGGGGGCUAGCGUUGUUCGGAAUUACUGGGCGUAAAGCGCGCGCAGGCGGUUUUUCAAGUCAGUGGUGAAAGCCCGGAGCUCAACUCCGGAACUGCCAUUGAAACUGUAAACUUGAGGACGAGAGAGGUGAGUGGAAUUCCCAGUGUAGAGGUGAAAUUCGUAGAUAUUGGGAAGAACACCGGUGGCGAAGGCGGCUCACUGGCUCGUAUCUGACGCUCAGGCGCGACAGCGUGGGGAUCAAACAGGAUUAGAUACCCUGGUAGUCCACGCCGUAAACGAUGAAUGCUAGCCGUUGGGCAGCUUGCUGUUCAGUGGCGCAGCUAACGCAUUAAGCAUUCCGCCUGGGGAGUACGGCCGCAAGGUUG
rnacentral:rRNA from 1 species